GAUCUCUACAGCAGAGGGCAGACGUUAUUACACUCCCACCCCCAAGAAUGCUGGAGGGGGGACUGGGGAGGAGGAGCUGCAGGAGCUCCAGCCCUGCCACUCCCAGAGACACCACAGGAGACGUCGUCCAUCCAGAUCCUCCCCGUGCCUGCAAAAACAACCAAGGACCUGCUGAGCAGCUCUGGCAUCCUUCGUGCUUCAUUAAAAUAAAUGGAAGGAUUAGAAAAGGUUUUGCUUCUUGGAAGCUUCAAGCUGCCCGUGACUCGGGCAAGAACCUUCUGGAUCAACAGGUCAGCAGCAAAAAUGCUGCAAAAACAGAGGUUUUGGGAAAAUUUUCCUGUGUUUAGUCAUCGAUAAUGUGGGUGUUGCUGAUUAGCCAAGCCACAGGGUACCUGAAUAAACAUCUCAUUGAGGAGGAGAAA